rnacentral:rRNA from 1 species
UGGACGAAAGUCUGACGGAGCAACGCCGCGUGAGUGAAGAAGGUUUUCGGAUCGUAAAACUCUGUUUUCAGGGACGAAUGUGUGGAUUGUAAAUAAUGAUCCAUAAUGACGGUACCUGACAAGAAAGCCACGGCUAACUACGUGCCAGCAGCCGCGGUAAUACGUAGGGGGCAAGCGUUGUCCGGAAUUAUUGGGCGUAAAGCGCGCGCAGGUGGGAUAAUCAGUCUGAUGUUAAAGUUCGGGGCUUAACCCCGUGAAGCAUUGGAUACUGUUAUUCUUGAGUGCAGGAGAGGAAAGUGGAAUUCCUAGUGUAGCGGUGAAAUGCGUAGAUAUUAGGAGGAACACCAGUGGCGAAGGCGACUUUCUGGACUGUGUCUGACACUGAGGCGCGAAAGCCAGGGUAGUGAACGGGAUUAGAUACCCCGGUAAUCCUGGCCGUAAACGAUGGGUACUAGGUGUUGGGGGUAUCGACCCCUCCAGUGCCGGAGUUAACGCAAUAAGUACCCCGCCUGGGGAGUAC